rnacentral:tRNA from 1 species
GGGGCUAUAGCUCAGUGGCAGAGUGCUUGCCUAGCAUGUGUGAGGCAUUAGAUUCAAUCCUUAGCACCA